UACGUAGGGUGCGAGCGUUAAUCGGAUUUACUGGGCGUAAAGCGUGCGCAGGCGGCCCGUUAAGACAGGUGUGAAAUCCCUGGGCUCAACCUAGGAAUUGCGCUUGUGACUGGCGGGCUCGAGUACGGUAGAGGGGGGUGGAAUUCCUGGUGUAGCAGUGAAAUGCGUAGAGAUCGGGAGGAACACCGAUGGCGAAGGCAGCCCCCUGGGCCUGUACUGACGCUCAUGCACGAAAGCGUGGGGAGCAAACAGG
rnacentral:rRNA from 1 species